CCAGUAUGCAAUUCUUCUGAGUUCCCAGGCAUCUCUGUAGCAAAGAAGAACUGGACUUCCAAGUGUCCCUGAUCCUGGAUAUACCAUAGCUGUUCUCCUUCUGUUUGCCAGGUGGCCCUGUUUGCAGCUGCCAGUUAUCCCAUUUGCAGCUCCAGAUGCCUUCUGUCCUCUGGACCACCAGACAGCAGUGAGUUGAGCACAGCUUGCGGAGUGCUUGGCCUUCCUGUCCUUGCAGUGUCUUUACAGCCCAUGCCAGGAUGUGUAUCUGCACAUCAGUCUCUACCAGGCUGUUUGUCUCAACUGGAUUGGAGGAGGGAGUGGAUGGCAACAGAGAAGAAAGCACUCCAGACCGAAACAAUAUCUUGUCUCUGCUAAGACCCACAAAACUUUCUUCCGUCAGAGAAGGCCUGGAACCAGAGCAACCUGUCUUGUGUGAUAGUAUCCAGGAAAGGAAGGGAAGUGGAAGUUCGACCGUGAGUCAGAGACAGUUCCAAGAUGAGAGAGCCUUGGUGUGACAUCCAUCACACCUGCCCUGCCCCCUCCAGAAACGAUCGUGAGGAUCUGGAUACCUUGUUCCUGAAUUGCUUUGAGUACCAUAAUGUUGUACAUAUUCCUGUUUCCUCCAAUUCUUCGCAAAUAGCACCAGAGGUCUUCAAAUAAAGGGAUGUUAACAUCU